CAGUCGAGGGGCAACGGGGAUGUUAGCUUGCUAAUAUCUGCCGGCGACCGGCGCACGGGUGAGUAACGCGUAUGCGACCUGCCCGUCACAGGGGGAUAAUCCGGAGAAAUCCGGUCUAAUACCGCAUAAUACCGUGAAUCUGCAUGGAUUUGCGAUUAAAGGAGCGAUCCGGUGACGGAUGGGCAUGCGUGACAUUAGCUAGUCGGCGGGGUAACGGCCCACCGAGGCGACGAUGUCUAGGGGUUCUGAGAGGAAGGUCCCCCACACUGGUACUGAGACACGGACCAGACUCCUACGGGAGGCAGCAGUGAGGAAUAUUGGUCAAUGGGCUUACGCCUGAACCAGCCAAGUCGCGUGAGGGAAGACUGCCCUAUGGGUUGUAAACCUCUUUUGUCAGGGAGCAACGCCGGCUACGUGUAGCCGGACUGAGAGUACCUGAAGAAAAAGCAUCGGCUAACUCCGUGCCAGCAGCCGCGGUAAUACGGAGGAUGCGAGCGUUAUCCGGAUUUAUUGGGUUUAAAGGGUGCGCAGGCGGAGGUGCAAGUCAGCGGUCAAAUUGCGGGGCUCAACCCCGUACUGCCGUUGAAACUGCAUCCCUUGAGUGCGCGAGAAGUAUGCGGAAUGCGUGGUGUAGCGGUGAAAUGCAUAGAUAUCACGCAGAACUCCGAUUGCGAAGGCAGCAUACCGGCGCGCAACUGACGCUCAUGCACGAAAGCGUGGGUAUCGA
rnacentral:rRNA from 1 species